AAAAAAAAUAAAAUUAAAAGAUGGAAAAAGAUAUAUCAUGCUAAUACUAAUAAAAAAGAAAGAAAAAAAAGCCUGGAGUGGCUAUAUUAAUCAGAAAAAGUUGAUUUGAGAUCAUGCAAUAUUUCCAGAAAUAAAGAAGUUCAUUUUAAUACAAAGAUCAAUUUGUGAAGAGGACAUAAUAAUCCUAAAUGUUUAUGUGCUUUAUAACAGAGCAUCACAAUAUAUGAAGGAAAUGCAUCAUGGAAUACAUGAUAGAAAUAAGAAGACAUGAGGCAGCCAGCAGAUCAUUUUGGCUAACCUAGGUCCUUUGCAACUUCAUAUGAAUUUUAGAACUAGUUUGUAAAUUUAUGAAGAAAGGAAGCUGAGAUUUUGACAAAAAUGGUGUUGAGUCUGUAGACCAAUGUGGGGACAAGGGAGAGGCCCCAUUUGCCCAAUAAAGAACACACUAUAAAAGGUACCAAUACUCCUUUUCACAGAAUCCUCGUUCUUUAAGGCCUAGGGAUCAUGAAGCAAUGAACUGGUGGAUCCUGGAUUGAAGAUCUGGCUUUUUUGAGUCCUUAUGUUACAAACUUCUUACUAGACAGCACUGCUUGCUCAGAAAAAUU